CCUUUGACCUCCUGGGAUAAAUGGCCAUGGGUGGCCUUGUGUGUCCUUGACUAAACAGGAGCAGUGGGGAGGCACUCGGCUUGCACUGUGGGUCUGGAGAACCCACCCUCUCAGGGUGCACUGAGGUUGUGUGCAGGGUCUGCAGCCAGAGGUGGGGGCCGGAAGGAGACGCCGGCUGUUUGGGAGUCCUGGGAGUAGAGCCGGUGGGCAGACCUGGUGCGGUGGGGAGAAACAAGGCGCCUAGGAGUUCAAGUUGGAGGAGGACGACCACAGGAACCAGGUAUUGGACAGGAGAGGAGAUAGCAAGAGAUGGCCUGGCUUCUGCAGCCCUCUAGGACUUAGGGCUCAAACCAGGGAAGUGUGCGUGAGUCUGUGUGUGUGGGGUCUGAAAGUGGGUGGUGGUGUGUAUGUCUUGGGUGGGUGGGUGCAUGUGAUGUGCCUGUGUGGAGUGCAUGUUUCUUUGUGUAAAAAGUUUGUCUCUGUGGACGUGUCUUUGUGCAGGUGUCUAAGUGCAGGUGGGUAGCGUGUCUGUGUGGGACGUUUGCCUGUAUUUCUGGGCAUGUGUCUCCGUGCGCUAUGCACAGGCAGUAUGUGCAUGCAUCUGUGUGUGUGCUCGUGCCCAUGUGUUUGUGUGUAGGUGUGUGCAUCCAGGGUGGGUGGUAUGUAUGCUUCUUGGUGUGUGCGAGCAUGUGUCUGCUUAUGUGCUGGUGGUGGUUUGGGCCUAGGCUAGCCCCGGGCCUGUGUGGAGGGUAUGUACCAGGGUACCCUGAUAGGGGAGAGUUUGGGCAGAGGAUGAGGAUGGGAGAGUGCCGAGAACGGGCUGCAGGGGGCACAGGACUAAAGUGGGGGCCUGACUGGGCCCUGCCAGCCGCGCAGCUCCUUCCUAGCUGCCCUUUCCCAGGCCCUGAGGGUGCUUGGUUCUGCUGCCCUCCCCCUCUGUGGGCUCUGAGGAGUCGUCCCUGUGGAAUGUGUUUGGUGGCCGAGGGCCAGGCUGGGCCCAGCUCCACCAGCAGACUGGGCAGCCGGGAGAGGUACCUUUGUGCUGCCUCCAUGGUGGGGAGCCCAAAUGCCUGCAGCCCAACCCCCAGCUUCAUGCUCUGCUUUCUCCCUGGCUAGGUGACUCUCACACGGGGCAUGCUGUUGUCUCCUGAUCCAGCUGGCCUUGCCAGGUGACCAUGCCUGCCCUCGGCCCAGCUCUUCUCCAGGCACUCUGGGCCGGGUGGGUCCUCACCCUCCAGCCCCCUCCACCGACUGCUUUCACUCCCAAUGGUACGCAUCUGCAGCACCUGGCGCGGGAUCCCACCUCAGGCACCCUCUACCUAGGAGCCACCAACUUCCUGUUCCAGCUGAGCCCUGAACUGCAGCUGGAGGCCACUGUGUCCACUGGCCCUGUGCUAGACAGCAGGGACUGUCUGCCACCUGUGACACCUGAUGAGUGCCCUCAGGCCCAGCCCACCAACAACCCAAAUCAGCUGCUCCUGGUGAGCCCUGGGGCCCUGGUGGUGUGUGGCAGUGUGCACCAGGGGGUCUGUGAACAGCGGCGCCUGGGGCAGCUCGGGCAGCUGUUGCUGCGGCCAGAGCGACCUGGGGACACCCAGUAUGUGGCUGCCAACGACCCUGCCGUCACCACGGUGGGACUGGUGGCCCAGGGCUUGGCUGGGGAGCCCCUCCUCUUUGUGGGGCGGGGCUACACCAGCAGGGGUGUGGGGGGAGGCAUCCCUCCCAUCACUACCCGCGCCUUAAGGCCGCUGGACCCCCAGGCUGCCUUCUCUUACGAGGAGACGGCCAAGCUAGCUGUGGGCCGCCUCUCCGAGUACAGCCACCACUUUGUGAGCGCCUUUGCACGCGGGGCCAGUGCCUACUUCCUGUUUCUCCGGCGGGACCUGCAAGCUCAGUCUCGAGCUUUCCGUGCCUAUGUGUCCCGUGUGUGCCUCCGGGACCAGCACUACUACUCCUACGUGGAGUUGCCUCUGGCCUGUCAGGGGAGCCGCUACGGGCUGAUCCAGGCUGCGGCUGUCGCCAUGUCCGCGGAGGUGGCCCGGGGGGAGGUGCUCUUUGCAGCCUUCUCCUCGGCUGCUCCCCCCACUGUGGGCCGGCCCCCGUUGGCAGCUGCCGGGGCAUCUGGAGCCUCUGCCCUCUGUGCCUUCCCUCUGGAUGAGGUGGAUCGCCUUGCUAAUCGCACACGUGAUGCCUGCUACACUCGGGAGGGCCGCGCUGAGGAUGGGGCCGAGGUGGCCUACAUUGAGUAUGAUGUCAAUUCCGACUGUGCUCAGCUGCCCGUGGACACCCUGGAUGCUUACCCUUGUGGCUCAGACCACACGCCCAGCCCCAUGGCCAGCCGUGUCCCCCUGGAAGCCACGCCAGUUCUGGAGUGGCCAGGGGUUCAGCUAACAGCCGUGGCGAUCACUGUGGAAGAUGGACACACCAUUGCUUUCCUGGGUGACAGUCAAGGGCAGCUGCAUAAGGUCUACUUGGGCCCAGGGAGUGAUGGCCACCCGUACUCCACACGGAUCAUCCAGCAGGGGUCUGCGGUGAGCAGAGACCUCAUCUUUGAUGGGGCCUUCGAGCACCUGUACGUCAUGACCCAGAGCACGCUUCUCAAGGUUCCUGUGGCCUCCUGUGCUCAGCACCUGGACUGUGCAUCUUGCCUGGCUCACAGGGACCCGUACUGUGGGUGGUGUGUGCUCCUUGGCAGGUGCAGUCGCCAUUCCGAGUGCUCUCGGGGCCAGGGCUUAGAGCGGUGGCUGUGGAGCUUCCAGCCUGAGGUGGGCUGUCUGCAAGUGGCAACCUUGAGUCCUGCUAACAUCAGCCGUGAGGAGAGGAGGGAGGUUUUCUUGUCGGUACCCGAUCUGCCACCCCUGUGGCCAGGGGAGUCUUAUUCCUGCCACUUUGGGGAAUACCAGAGUCCUGCCCUGCUGACCAGUUCUGGUGUGAUGUGCCCCUCCCCAGACCCUAGUGAGGCUCCAGAGCUGCCGAGAGAAGCUGACCACGUCUCCGUGAGCCUGGAGCUCAGGUUUGGCACCGUCGUGAUUGCCGAGGCUUCCCUCUCCUUCUAUGACUGCAUGGCCGUCACCUUGCUCCGCCCGUCUGCACAGUGCCAGGCCUGCGUGAGAAGCCUCUGGGGGUGUAACUGGUGCGUCUGGCAGCACCUGUGCACGCACAAGGCCUUAUGUGAUGCUGGGCCCAUGGUGGUCAGCCGACAGAGCCCGCCCCUCUCCCCAGCCCCUCCUGCAAGAGACGCACCCACCUCCUUCCCACCCACAGCCCCCAGGGCCACGGUCGCCCUGACUCCUGACGCCCUUCCUGUGGACACUCCUUCCACAGCCACAGCCUUGGAUGUCCCCCCCGGGGCCAGGCCUUCCCUGCUCAGCCCCCGGGGGCCGUGGGCAGGUCCCGGCCCCACACCUGCCUCGGCUUCCACGGGCUCACCUCUCCACGAGGCCCCUCCUCCUCCCAGCCCCCGCCAGAGGCCUGGAACCGCUGUCCCUGCCCCUACAGCCUUCGGACCCAUGGCCACCGCUGAGGACCUCUUGGCCUCCCACCCAUCGCCCUCAGAUGCAGCAGCACUGCCCCCCGCCCUUGCAGAGCCUGGCCCCGAGGCUCUCCCCUCUGCGGUACCCCUGGACCAGCCCCCCAGCACGGCUCCCGCCACCACUUUCCCAGGGGCCGCUGGCUCCACGAAGCCUGCUCUGGACUGGCUCAUGAGAGAAGGCGGCGAGCUGCCCGAGGCGGAUGAGUGGACAGGGGGUGACACGCCCGCCUUCUCCACUUCCACCCUCCUCUCAGGUGAUGGAGACUCUGCUGAGCACGAGGGCCCUCCCGCCCCCCUCAUCCUCCUGUCCAGCCUUGACUACCAGUACGACACCCCUGGGCUCUGGGAGCUGGAGGAGAUGACCUUGGGGGCAGGCUCCUGCCCUUGUGUGGAGAGUGUGCAGGGCUCCAGCCUGAUGCCGGUCCACGUGCAGCGAGAAGUGCGACUGCUGGGCAGGAACCUGCGCCUCUUCCAGGACAGCCCAGGCGACCAUGAGUGUGUGAUGGAGCUGGAGGGCCACGAGGUGGUGGUUGAGGCCCGGGUCGAAUGCGAGCUGCCUCCAGAUACCCGGUGCCAUGUCACCUGCCAGCAGCACCAGCUCAGCUAUGAGGCUCUACAGCCAGAGCUCCGCGUGGGGCUGUUUCUGCGUCGGGCUGGCCAUCUGCGUGUGGACAGUGUGGAUGGGCUGCACGUGGUGCUGUAUGAUUGUUCCGUGGGACACGAGGACUGCAGCCGCUGCCAAACUGCCAUGCCCCAGUACGGCUGUGUGUGGUGCAAGGGGAAGCAUCCACGCUGCGUGGCCCAGGAGGCCUGUGGCGAGGCUGAGGCUGUGGUCACCCAGUGCCCAGCACCCCUCAUCCACUCGGUGGAGCCACUGACUGGGCCUGUAGACGGAGGCACCCGUGUCACCAUCAGGGGCUCCAACCUGGGCCAACACGUGCAGGACGUGCAGGACACGGUCAGGGUGGCUGGAGUGCCCUGUGCUGUGGACGCUCAGGAGUACGAGGUGUCCAGCAGCCUUGUGUGUAUCACUGGGGCCAGCGGGGAGGAGAUGGCAGGCGCUGUGACGGUGGAGGUGCCAGGAAGAGGACGCGGCGUCUCAGAGCAUGACUUUGCCUACCAGGACCCAAAGGUGCAUUCCAUCUUCCCGGCCCGAGGCCCCAGAGCCGGGGGCACCAACCUCACCCUGCAUGGCUCCAAGCUUCUGACCGGGCGGCUGGAGGACAUCCGAGUGGUAGUUGGAGACCAGCCUUGUCACCUGCUGCUGGAGCAGCAGGCGGAGCAACUGCGGUGUGAGACCAGCCCACACCCCACGCCUGCCACACUCCCCGUGGCUGUGUGGUUUGGGGCUGCUGAGCGGAGGCUUCAUCACAGCCAGUUCGAGUACACAUCAGAUCCCAAUGUCACCUCUGCUGGCCCCGCCAAGAGCUUCCUCAGUGGAGGACGUGAGAUAUGGGUCCGUGGCCAGAAUUUGGACGUGGUGCAGACACCAAGAAUCCGAGUGACUGUGGCCACGAGAGCGCCAGGACCAGGCCAGGGGCUUGGGUGGAGGCACCGCGUGAUCCCAGAGACGGCGUGCUCCCCCGGAGCCUCCUGUGGCGGCCUGCACUUUGAGGAGCCUUGCCACGUGAACUCCUCCCAGCUCAUCACGUGCCGCACGCCGGCCCUCCCAGGCCUGCCUGAGGACCCCUGGGUCCGUGUGGAAUUCAUCCUUGAAAACCUGGUCUUUGACUUUGCAACACUGAACCCCACACCCUUCUCCUAUGAGGCCGACCCCACUCUGCAGCCGCUCAACCCCGAGGACCCCACCGCACCAUUCCGGCACAAGCCUGGGAGUGUGCUCUCUGUGGAGGGGGAGAAUCUGGACCUUGCAAUGUCCAAGGAGGAGGUGGUGGCCAUGAUAGGGGACGGCCCCUGCAUGGUGAAGACGCUGACCCGGCACCACCUGUACUGCGAGCCCCCCGUGGAGCAGCCCCUACCACGGCACCAUGCCCUCCGGGAGGUGCCUGAUGCUUUGCCUGAGUUCACGGUGCAGAUGGGGAACCUACGCUUCUCCUUGGGCCACGUGCAGUACGAUGGCGAGAGCCCUGUGGCUUUCCCCAUGGCAGCCCAGGUGGGCUUGGGGGUGGGCACCUCUCUUCUGGCUCUGGGUGUCAUCAUCAUUGUCCUCAUGUACAGGAGGAAGAGCAAGCAGGCUCUGAGGGACUAUAAGAAGGUGCAGAUCCAGCUGGAGAAUCUGGAGAGCAGCGUGCGGGACCGCUGCAAGAAGGAGUUCACAGACCUUAUGACCGAGAUGACCGAUCUUACCAGUGACCUUCUGGGCAGCGGCAUCCCCUUCCUCGACUACAAGGUGUAUGCCGAGAGGGUCUUCUUCCCUGGGCACCAGGAGUCACCCUUGCACCGGGACUUGGGCGUGCCUGAGAGCAGGCGACCCACUGUGGAACAAGGGCUGGGGCAGCUUUCCAACCUGCUUAACAGCAAGCUCUUCCUCAUCAAGUUCAUCCACACCCUGGAGAGCCAGCGCACCUUCUCAGCUCGGGACCGCGCCUACGUGGCAUCUCUGCUCACCGUGGCACUGCACGGGAAGCUUGAGUACUUCACUGACAUCCUGCGCACCCUGCUCAGUGACCUGGUGGCCCAGUACGUGGCCAAGAACCCCAAGCUGAUGCUGCGCAGGACAGAGACCGUGGUGGAGAAGCUGCUCACCAACUGGAUGUCUAUCUGCCUCUACACCUUCGUGAGGGACUCGGUAGGGGAGCCUCUGUACAUGCUUUUCCGUGGAAUUAAGCAUCAAGUGGACAAGGGGCCGGUAGACAGCGUGACUGGCAAAGCCAAAUACACCCUGAAUGACAACCGCCUGCUCCGAGAGGACGUGGAGUACCGUCCCCUGACCUUGAAUGCACUACUGGCUGUGGGGCCUGGAGCGGGAGAAGCCCAGGGCGUGCCUGUGAAGGUCCUGGACUGUGACACCAUCUCCCAGGCCAAGGAAAAGAUGUUGGACCAGCUUUAUAAAGGAGUGCCUCUUACCCAGCGGCCAGACCCCCGCACCCUGGACGUCGAAUGGCGGUCUGGGGUGGCCGGGCAUCUCAUUCUUUCUGACGAGGACGUGACUUCUGAGGUCCAGGGUCUGUGGAGGCGCCUGAACACCCUGCAGCAUUACAAGGUCCCAGACGGAGCAACUGUGGCCCUCGUCCCCUGCCUCACCAAGCAUGUCCUCCGGGAAAGCCAGGAUUACGUCCCUGGAGAGAGUCUUGGCACAGGGACCCCAAUGCUGGAGGAUGUGGACGAGGGGGGCAUCCGGCCCUGGCACCUGGUGAAGCCAAGCGAGGAGCCGGAGCCGCCCAGGCCUCGGAGGGGCAGCCUCCGGGGCGGGGAGCGGGAGCGAGCCAAGGCCAUCCCUGAGAUCUACCUGACCCGCCUGCUGUCCAUGAAGGGCACCCUGCAGAAGUUUGUGGAUGACCUGUUCCAGGUGAUUCUCAGCACCAGCCGUCCCGUGCCGCUCGCUGUGAAAUACUUCUUUGACCUGCUGGAUGAGCAGGCCCAGCAGCAUGGCAUCUCAGACCAGGACACCGUCCAUAUAUGGAAGACCAACAGCUUGCCGCUGAGGUUCUGGAUCAAUAUCAUAAAAAACCCGCAGUUUGUGUUCGACGUGCAGACAUCUGAUAACAUGGAUGCAGUGUUCCUGGUCAUUGCACAGACCUUCAUGGAUGCCUGCACCCUGGCUGACCACAAGCUGGGCCGGGACUCUCCCAUCAACAAACUUCUGUAUGCUCGGGAUAUUCCCCGGUACAAACGGAUGGUGGAAAGGUACUAUGCAGACAUCAGACAGACCAUCCCCGCCAGUGAUCAAGAGAUGAACUCCAUCCUGGCCGAGCUGUCCCGGAACUACUCUGGAGACCUGGGGGUGCGAGUGGCCCUGCACGAACUCUACAAGUAUAUCAACAAAUACUAUGACCAGAUGUUUGCAUGGCCCCAGGGAUGUGGCCGUUGCUGUUGAGCGAUGAGGGCCCUGCCUCAUGGCUCAGGCCUGGAGUGGGGACAGGCAUUUGACACAGGAGUGAUGCGCAAGCGUGAAGUCCAGAUCAUCACUGCCCUGGAGGAAGAUGGCACGGCCCAGAAGAUGCAGCUGGGCUAUCGGCUCCAGCAGAUCGCAGCGGCUGUAGAAAACAAGGUCACAGAUCUGUAGGGACUUGGAGAGCCCCUGGCCUGCUGUGCCUCAGCCCCGCCUGGGCAGCCCCGGAACCAUGAGGGAGAGACCACCUUCUUAGAUGCCUGUAGUGCCUGCCCAGCGGAGUUAGCGGAAGGUGGCUCCAAGUCUCCUGGUGGCUCUGGCCUGGGCCCUGCUGGACAUCUCGCAGGCGUGGGGCCUUGAGGCUGAUGGAGUGGUGACCCUGAGGCCAGUGACCCUGCAGGCUACUUUCUGUGUGAUGUUAGUCUGAGGGAAACUGGGGACUAAGGGCUUCCAGAGAGUGGCUGGAAGGGCCUCCAGCCCCUGGGGAGACUGUACUGCUCCUGAACACUGGCCUUUAUCCCAGGGGAUUCAGAGAGGAAGGAGGAGAGCCCCCACUUCCUGUCCCGCCCUCCUCCUCCACCAUCCCUGACCUCAUUAGCCGCCACUGGCCAUGUUGCUGCUGCCAUUUUCCUAGGUCUGAGAGAUGAAUGCCUUUCCUAGGCUGCUGCAAACUGACCUCUCAGCAGGGCUGGCUGCUUCAGGGCCACCCUGCCACCGAGGCAGCCAGGAGUGAGGGGUGUCUGCUGCAGGGGGGCCUCGGGGAGAAUGGUGGCCCUACUGACCUGGCUCUUCAUUAAAGGAUAACACACUG